rnacentral:rRNA from 1 species
UACGUAGGGUGCAAGCGUUUAAUCGGAAUUACUGGGCGUAAAGCGUGCGCAGGCGGUGAUGUAAGACCGAUGUGAAAUCCCCGGGCUUAACCUGGGAACUGCAUUGGUGACUGCAUUGCUAGAGUAUGGCAGAGGGGGGUGGAAUUCCACGUGUAGCAGUGAGAUGCGUAGAGAUGUGGAGGAACACCGAUGGCGAAGGCAGCCCCCCUGGGCCAAUACUGACGCUCAUGCACGAAAGCGUGGGGAGCAAACAGG